rnacentral:rRNA from 1 species
GAGUUUGAUCAUGGCUCAGGAUGAACGCUGGCGGUAUGCUUUACACAUGCAAGUCGUACGAGAGUUUUUAACUCAAGUGGCGGACGGGUGAGUAACACGUAAGAAUUUGCCUUUAGGAGGGGGAUAACAACUGGAAACGGUUGCUAAUACCCCAUAUGCUUUUUAGUGAAACGGAGUUUUCCGCCUAAAGAGAAGCUUGCGGCUGAUUAGCUUGUUGGUAGGGUAAUGGCCUACCAAGGCGACGAUCAGUAUCUGGUUUGAGAGGACGAUCAGACACACUGGAACUGAGACACGGUCCAGACUCUUACGGGAGGCAGCAGUGGGGAAUUUUCCGCAAUGGGCGAAAGCCUGACGGAGCAAUACCGCGUGAAGGAUGACGGCCUAUGGGUUGUAAACUUCUUUUUUCAGGGAGGAAUCAA